AACGAACGCUGGCGGCAUGCCUAACACAUGCAAGUCGAACGAGACCUUCGGGUCUAGUGGCGUACGGGUGCGUAACGCGUGGGAACCUGCCCUUAGGUUCGGAAUAACUCUCCGAAAGGGGUGCUAAUACCGGAUAAUGUCUUCGGACCAAAGAUUUAUCGCCUUUGGUUGGGCCCGCGUUGGAUUAGCUAGUUGGUAGGGUAAAAGCCUACCAAGGCGACGAUCCAUAGCUGGUCUGAGAGGAUGAUCAGCCACACUGGGACUGAGACACGGCCCAGACUCCUACGGGAGGCAGCAGUGGGGAAUAUUGGACAAUGGGCGAAAGCCUGAUCCAGCAAUGCCGCGUGAGUGAUGAAGGCCUUAGGGUUGUAAAGCUCUUUUACCCGGGAUGAUAAUGACAGUACCGGGAGAAUAAGCUCCGGCUAACUCCGUG
rnacentral:rRNA from 1 species